rnacentral:tRNA from 1 species
GGGAUUAUAGCUCAGUGGUAGAGUCCAUGCUUAGCAUCCAUGAGGACCUGAGUUCAAUCCCUAGUACCUCCA